rnacentral:lncRNA from 10 species
CUCAAAGCAGCCGCAAGCCUGGUAUUUCUCUCUUUUGUCCUCCAUUGGAGAGCAUGGUUGUGCCAAGGCUCUCUAGCCAGGACAGCCCAUCCUCAGGCCACCCAGCUCCGUGAGUGAGUUCCCUGCACAGCCUGUGACUGACUCACCGAUGCAGUGGGGCUGAUCUUCACAUGGCACCCCAAGCAGGCUUUUCCAGUUCACAUCUGCCAACAAGGCAGCCAAGGGGGUGGUUUAGGAAGUAGAGAAAAGGUGAAAAGGCAGCGGAGGGAGCCGGCUGUCCUGUGUCUCCUCUUUUUCCUGCCCCCAGUGACUUGCAUUUUCUCUGAGACAGCUGCCAUUCUAGUCUCCCAGCCAUUCUUAGGAAGAGACGUGCCUGUCUCUGGGAAGAGGCAACUUCUCUGCAUGUCAGAGGAUGCUGGUCUUUCAAGUCCCUGCUGCUUUGGAAGAUCUCUGAGGCCUUCAACCACAUUCUUUGUAUUUAUGUCCUACUCUUCUACUUGUUCUCUGUGGAAGAGAGACAGAGGAAAAAAGCUACUGUAACCUUAUCCUAAGUGGAUGCCUAGGUGAACAUUUUGGAUGGUCACUUAACCUAAGUCUCAGUUUCCUCAUUAAUAAAAUGGGGGCACAUGAGACAUACCUCAUGAGGUUGUUUCGAGGCUUAAAUAUACGUUAAAUGUAUUUUGUGAGCCUAAAAGAUAUUUAAACACAAGCCGCUAUUACAUCUUUACAUGAUUGAAGUUCCUGAAGGAGACCUGUAGUGGGUGUCUAUACAGGGCAGUUGGUUCAUGUGGCCAGGUCUACUUGGGGAUGUGAAUGGAAGUUUACUUCUUCUGGGAACUUUGAUUGUUAAUAUUGUUGGAUUUAUCACUCUUUAGUGAAACAAGUUACUUCCUCAUGGUGGUAAGAAGUCCCAGAACACUGUUCCAAACACUUUCCCAAAGGCUCAUCCUUGAAAACCCAAGGCCAUCAACAAGCCAUUGGACUACCCUUUUUUCAAAUACACAUCUUUCUGGCAAACAGGGGAUUCUUCUAAAAUAAUUUGAAGAAAUGAAAAAUACCAGCUUACGUGCUUCACUCUGAGAUCAUUUCUGUCCUGUUAGGUACAAUCUUAGGGUUUAUCCCUGACUUUUCCCCCUGAGCAAGUCUUACUCAGCUCAGGUGAUAUAAGACAGUUGCACAACUUAUUGGUCUUUUUUGAGUAAAUAUUUGCUUGAGCUUCAGUUCUUUUUAUCACUGUCCUGACAGUUCUACAUUUACCCACAAGUUGUAGAACUCUCUGGCUUUUUCUCCCUGUGCAAGAUCAGCACCAUCCUUGUAACAGAAAGAUGCAUUUGUCCAUCACUUGAGUGAUCUUUUUGAGAGACCACUUUACCUCUUCUCUACUGAGUAGUGGAUGAUAAGACCUACUUCUAGUCCAUUCCACCUGGCAUUUGAAAUAUCACCUUUUUAUACCCAUUAUCAUAUCCACUAUUUAAGGAAUCUCAGCAUCCUGAUGUCUUUUUGUCUAUAGGAAACCUACUCUGACUCAAAUCUGCCAUUAAAGUCUGAACAAUGCAGCCACUGAUCAGGCCUCAGACAGGCUUGACUUACACAUGUUAUCUCAGAGGGAUAUCAAUGUGAUUCAGGAUCACCCACUAAAACCUGAGCUCCAACUAGCCUUUUGAAUUGGCUGACAAGCUCCUUGCCUGCCCUGAUGGAACAGAACACCAGACACUAUGGGGGGAAGUGA